UACGGGGGGGGCAAGCGUUGUUCGGAAUUACUGGGCGUAAAGGGCUCGUAGGCGGCCAACUAAGUCAGACGUGAAAUCCCUCGGCUUAACCGGGGAACUGCGUCUGAUACUGGAUGGCUUGAAUCCGGGAGAGGGAUGCGGAAUUCCAGGUGUAGCGGUGAAAUGCGUAGAUAUCUGGAGGAAUACCGGUGGCGAAGGCGGCAUCCUGGACCGAGAUUGACACUGAGGAGCGAAAGCCAGGGGAGCAAACGGG
rnacentral:rRNA from 1 species